GAUUUGUGAUCUGGUGCGUUCGACCUUUGCCUCUUGUGAGGUCGAGUGUUGGACUGUGCGGAUCAUCUAUGGGUUGGUGAUUAAUUUCACUGGUCCAUCGGUUACUUUGAACAAAUUAGAGUGUUUCAAGCAGGCGUUACAGCCGUGAAUACUAGAGCAUGGAAUAACAACAUAGGACUUCGGUUCGAUUUUGUUGGUUCUGCGUACUGAAGUAAUGAUUGAUAGGGAUAGUUGGGGGUGCUAGUAUUCAGUGGCCAGAGGUGAAAUUCUUGGAUUCACUGAAGACUAACUUAGGCGAAAGCAUU
rnacentral:rRNA from 1 species